UAUCCUUUGAAAAUAAAAUAUCUUCUUUUUAGUUAUUGAUUUUCUGUAAAUUCACAAGAAGGUUUAUAAGAGAAAAAUCACUUCAUCCUUAGUAAUAACAAAAGUUAUAAGAAACAGUUAUUUAAUCAUGUCUCAUUAUUUUGGGGGAAUGUCAGCACAGAAUCAGGGUAGUUUCAGUGAACAUACUGCUGGGCUGUUUUGUUUCUUAUAUAUUUCGGAAGGCCGAUUUUAUACUUUCAGUAGGGAAUCUCAUAGUUAAUGUGGGAUUACAAAAAUGCCAGAGGAGAAUAUCAAUUAUUAAAAAGGAUAAGGCUGCAAGGUGGAUUAUUUCUUCUAAUAUGAUAGAAAUUGCUGUUCCCACAAAAUCUAUUAUAAAUUGCACUAACAAAGUCAAUGUUUUAGGUUUUGAUUCAGGAAAGUGAUUAAGUACAUGCUUACAGUUAACUUCCCUGAACAGAUUGCCUUUAAGGAUCAAUAUGGGCCUCCGGGGAUGUGAUGCUGCAUAUUCUGAAGGAUGCUAAGCUCCUAAAUGAAACAGAGCAGAAUCUAUGAACUGGUCUUUAACAGUCUUUUUCGUGUCACCAAACCCACUACAAGAGUCACAACGGCAAAGUUCAGAUAAGAAAUAGUGAUGAUUCCUCAGAGAAAGCAAAAAUGAGGACUGAGGAAAAUCCAGAUAUCCCAUAUCUUCAUUAACUUCAUUUUAACAGAUCUAAAAGAUGCUGAGUCUACAGAGCAGAUAUAACCCUGGAAUUAUCUUUAAAGCUCUCAGCAUUCAACCUGUUCUCCUGUUUUGCCUUUGCUCAGCUCCCAGCUGUCUGUGUUGAGUGCGAUCAGUGACCUUUCUAAAGAAGGGCACCAUCACUAAAAGCUCCCUCACUAGUGGCAUCCAUACGGUUAUGGUUUCAAGCCUGACAACUGCUAUGCUUGUGAAAAUUCAUCUAAACCCACUAUUUCUGCAGAGGAAGAGAAGAUGCAGGACACACGGCAGUCCUAUGGAGACACAGCAUUGAAGGGACCCUGAAGGCAGAGAGGGUUCAGCCCUGCCUGAGGCUGCUGGCAACCCCUGGUCAAAAUCAACUAUUCCAACCAAAAAUAACUGCUGUGGAAAGCACCUAGGCAAAUCUGUUAGACACUGCCUAAGAAAGUGCUUCAGAGCUCUGAAAGCACUACAUGGAAGAGGAUCUCCACACCUACCUGUUACACUUUGGCUGCAUUCAUCUUGAAAUUAAAAGAUACGUUUGCAAUUAUUUGGGAGCCUGUAAACUACUCUUGGAAGAGUUGGAAAAGAAGAAUGAUACUGACAAAAUAAAAUAAAAAUAUUAAAGUUAGCAAGAAAGAUACAAUUGUGGCCAAAGCUCUGUAAAGAGGCAAUGCCAUAUCUGUGGAGACAGGAGCAAUUGCUAACCAUGUUACUUAAAAUUUAUUUCAAGACCUUCUGACAUCAAUGUAAAGAUGUAUACAAAUGUGGUAAGGUUUUGACAGGAUCCAAUCAGAGGACAAAAUUUAAAGUUGUUUUUAAAGGCAAUCCAGAAAUAACAUUAGCCCAUUACUUGGUAAGCGUGGACACCUCAUAAUCAGGGAUAUAGACAAAGCAGAGACAUUUAAUGUUUUUUUUUUCCUCGUCUUCAAUACUGAUGAUGGGCUGGGCUCCACCCCCACCUCCUCCAGAGCCCUGCGCCCUGGGCUAGAGGACCAAGACUGUGCAAAAGAUAAACUCCCAGUCAACCUCAAACCUGUGUGGGAUUUGCUGCUCCAGCUGAAUUCCUAUAGACUGAUGGGGCCUGAUGGGAAUCUUCCAAAGUGACUUAAAGAGCUGGCUGAUGUCAUAGUGAGACCUCUCUCAAUGAUUUUUCAAUGCUCUUGGGAAUCUGGAGAGGUACCAGUUGACCGGAAGCUUGCAUAUGUUAUCCCAGUCUUCAAGAAGGGCAGCGGGGAUGACCCCAAUAACUACAGACAUGUUAGUCUCACUUCAGUGUCUGGUAAGGUUAUGGAGAAGAUUAUUCUGGAAGCCGACGAAAAACAUCUGAAAGACAACACAGUCAUUGGUCCCAGCCAGCAUGGAUUUAUAAAGGGCAGGUCCUGCCUGACAAACCUAAUUUCCUUCUAUGACAAGGUUAACCACCUAGCUGACCAAGGAAAACCAGCUGACAUAAUCUUGCUGGAUUUCACUAAGGCCUUUGAUGCUGUUUCUCACAGUACCCUCCUAAACAAAAUGUCCAGCAUACAUCUGGAUAAACACACAGUGCAGUGAAUGAACAAUUGGCUGAUAGGUUGGGCUCAAAGGCUCCUGGUGAAUGGGAUUACAUCGGGCUGGUGACCAGUCACUAACAAGGUUCUGCAGGGAUCUAUCUUAGGACCAGUACCCUUUAAUAUCUUUGUAAGUGAUUUGGAUGUAGGACUCAAGGGUUUACUAACCAAGUUCGCUGAUGACACAAAACUGGAGGGAGUUGUUGAACUUGAGGGCAAAGAGGCCCUGCAGAGGGAUCUAGAGAGAUCUUGGAGAGCUGGGCAAUCACCAACCACAUGAAGUUGAAAACAAGGGCAAGUGCUGGAUUUUGCACCUGGGACACGGCAACCCUGGAUAUAUGUGUAGACUGGAGAGUGAGAGGCUGGAAAGCAUGGCUGUAGAAAAAGAUCUGUGGGUUCUGGCUGACAGCAAGUUGAACAUGAACCAACAGUGUACCCUGUCAGCUAAGAGGGUCAGCCGUGUCCUGGGGUGCAUCAAUCAAGCACAGCAUAGCUGGCUAAUUGAAGGAGGUGCUCUACUCCACACAGGUGCAGCCCCACCUUGAGUAUUGUGUGCAGUUUUGGGCGCUGCAGUAUAGAAAGGAUAUCAGGCUACUGGAGAGUGUCCAGAGGAGGGCCACUAAGUUGGUGAAGGGUCUAUGAGGAUUGGCUGAAUUCACUUGGUCUGUUCAGCCUGGAGAAGGGAAAACUGAAGGGAGACCUCGUAACAGUUUACUGCUUCCUCAUAAGGGAAGGAGGAGGAGCAGGCACUGAUCUCUUCUCUCUGGUGACCAAUGAUAGGACCCAAGGGAAUAGCAGGAAGAUGUACCAGGGGAGGUUUAGGUUGGAUACUAGGAAAAGGUUCUUCACUGUGAGGGUGGUGGAGCACUGGAACAGCUCCCCAGGGAAGUAGUCAUGGCGCCAAGCCCGACAAUAUUCAAGAAGUAUUUGGACAAUGCCCUCAUACACAUGCUGUAAAUUUUGGGGUUGUCCUAUGCAGGGACUAUGUUGGACUCAAUGAUCCUUGUGGGUCCCUUCCAGCUCAGGUCAUUCUGUAAUUCUGUAAAGAAGAAAUUAACUAAAUGGGUGAAAAAAACCUGUCUUGAUAUAAUAAUGUAUUUCAAAAUGCAAAGACAAAAACUGUCCAGAGAAAUCAAGGAUGGUAGUUCAGAAAUUUACUUUCAAUCGACAAAAAUGACACAGGUGAAAUUAUAGAGUGUCAAGAAGCUCCCAGUCAGACCGAAACUUGCAGCUGCUGAUCUAAAGUGUUAAGCCAAUUUUUUAUAUAGUUCUGCAAAGCAGUUUGUAUGUGGGACAGGCAUGUAUGUGAGUGAUCCAUCACACAGAAGCCCCUUACAACCGAGCAAGCAGAUGUAUUCUACAUUUCCAGAAGGGAACAGAUCCAUAAACAGGGAAUCAAAACAAGUUUAUAGAGAAUAGAUCUUACCAAACAAAUCAAUUUGGGCUUUUUUUUUAGCAGAAAACCAUUCCGAGCUAUUUUUCAAAAGUUUGUGCAGCUGAUAGUUGAGUUGACUAGAAGGAGGUUUUGACUUUCAGUGAAAGGUAAAUAUUUUCAAGGAUCAAAGAGGUGGACGAUCCGAGUGGUUAAGAGGUAGCUGCUCAGCUCUGAGUGGGCUAUUACCCAAAGAGUUAUUGUGUCUAUGUUUCUGUAUACCACACAACUAAUAUUGUAUCAAUGAACCCUAUCAAAAUAUAUAUAUGAGCUUAUGUUUUCAAUAAGAUAAAUAAAACAUAUUCAGAAACCAAACCUUAGAAGUUCCUGUUUUUAUGGUCCAUUUUCUCCUCUAGACUUCAAGAGGUAUGACGUCUAGCCUUAUGCCUUGAUGCAUUUUUUUUCUCCACUGACAGAAAUGCUCUGAGCUUCAUUUAGAGGGAUUCAGGUUAUCCACAAGCUAGAGAUUAAAAAUUCUCCAUUCAUGCGGAGAUGAGCCACAUGAGCAUUCUCCUUAAUGUAGCUACCGCACCUGAAGAUUCAUCUUAAAAGUAGGUAGAAGGAUCUGUUGUCAGUGUUUUAGUUGUCUUCUGUUUUGAGGAGAAGCAGCUUUUCGGAUCCAGGCACAAACAUGCAUAAAACAGACAUCUCUCAAGCAAAAACCAAAUGCAAGGGCCUAAGCCUGAAUGCAGCUUCCAAGGUGAGGGGUGGAAGCCCCCAUGGAGGCCUUUCACAGCUCUUUCCCAACAGUCAGAACCCAAAGUGACACCAUUACACCACAUCGCAGCUGUCCUUCAGUACAGAUACCCAAGCUCCAGGAACCAGGCAAGGAAGAGGUUGCAGACUCCCAGAGGGCAUUCAGGGCCCUGAUAGACUUCAGCUAUUGUCUGUCUAUCAUGGGCACAAGAAACAAAAUAACUCCACCACUGAGAUUUUUACACUGUUCCUUGAUGUCUUCUUUAUACAUGUCAGAGAGGAAGAGGUGUAAGUUGUCACUGGCUCAGAAGAAGAAGAGAGUAGGACACUCCCAUUAAGCCUGCAAACACCUCACACAGCUUUCAGGCUGAAGUCUGACAGUUCAGUGUCAGUCAAGUUGCAAGAACUGCCUGAACUGAACUGAACUUCCUGUCUGAACCAGAUACUGCCUCUUGAUCCCCAUGCUUUUCGUCCUCACUUACUUGAGUCCUUGGGGGUUCCUAGUUCUUUUGUUUGUCCUUGCGGCAGCCGCCUUCUCCCCACUAGCGGUUUGCAUUUGUCAGCUUCUGAUACAGAUGUCCUUAAGCUUCAUUCUCUGCUGCUCUGUGCUCAUGGAGAGCCUCUCUUGAAAUGACUCGGAGAGCCACUCAUGCACUUCUUCAGACCUUCUACCUUAAUCCAUCCUAAGGAAGGUGCAUUUAGAAACCCAGCCAAUUACACUAAUGAUGGCUAAGCUGAGAAGCAGGUAGGAGAAGGGAUUGUUUUUAGGUAUUGUCAUAUGUCAACAAUAAUUAUAUAAUAGCAUGUAUUUCUAAAAAUGUUUAAAGUUUACAUUCUGUAUUUUCAUGUUCUGUUUAUUUUACCAAUCCCUUAUUCUAUUUCUUAAUUUGCAUUGGUAUUCUAAGUACAGUCUCCAUUUGAUUCGGUCUUAAAAAUGUUUUCCUUCACUAAAUGAAAGAGGUGAUUCAGGACAUCUUAAUUAUGAUUCCAGUCUAGAAAAGCAGGCAAAUUAAGUAUUUUCUAAAAAGCUUUGCUGAAUUGGAACCAAAAUUACUAACGCUACUUGUAGUAUAAUUUUUGCCUGUAUGAUUUUGCUAACUUUUUCUUAACUAUAAAAGACAGUUCUUUCUCUGCCAGGGACUUGAGCAAUGAGAGUAUUUGACACAUCAGAUUAGGCUAUGGGACGCUUGUUUCAGCACUUCUAUGGAAAUUUUACUUCUCUUCUUUGCCUUGAUUUAUGCGUCAUCACUAAUUUGUCAUGAACAAGAAAAAAUGACCAGUCCACUGAAAACCAGCAAUAUUUAGUAGAUUCUACCCAAUGUUCACGUGUCCAUUGUAUACACUCUUCUGGUUAUAAGAACCUGCCAGUAGCCUAGUAUUUCUUUAACUUGUUCCAUAACUAGAACACUCUGAAUACUCUCAAAUCAUGGAAGAGUAGGCACUGAAAGAGUGACAUGGGCUAGUGUGCAGAAUUACUUUCAAUAAGUAGGAUUCUGAAAGAGCAGCCUCAAAAAAAUAUGCUGCUUCCUGAGAAUGCAGUUUGUAACUUUAAUAAUUGCUCUGGAUAGUAAAGUGGCAGAAAAUGAAUGGAACGCAAAUUCUUCAUGUCAUCACAUGACACAUAACUGAGGCAGAGAUUACAUCUGGAUUUUUCAGAGAGCAUUAAUCAGUCAUGUAGUUAGUUAUAGCUGGUGCUUUGUCCCUGGUGGUUAAGGCAGCACGUAGCUUUGUGGAGUAGCAAGAGUAUAAAAAAAUCAUGGAGUUUAUUGGUUGUUCUAGAUUAUCUUUAGAAAUUGUGUGAUAACAGUCUCAAAUUCUUUUGAAACAAUUUCAGAUACAUUCACUAAAGCACAUUAGAAUUGCUGCUUAUCUCCCAAGAUCAAAUGGAUAAACAAGGUUUUUGUACAUAUAUUUGAAAGGGCAGUGGAGAAAAUGAAGUAGAAUUUUGUGUACAAAUAGAAACUCUGUAUCAGAGCCCACCACCCCACUAACUUUAACCAAAGCCUUUCUGGACUUUUGAUUUAUUUUAGAUAUGAUUUAUUUUGCACAGGAACUGGAUGAGCACAGUAGAGGAAACAGAAUCAUAUUAUAGAUUCUAUUCCCUCUGUUCUAUACCUCUCAGACAUUCUGCAUCUGUCAGUAGGGUGUGCAUAAAAUUACAGGGGAUGAAACAAUUAGGACAAAGGUGUUGUCAAGAAGGUAUAUUACUGGGAGAACGGCAUAGCUGCUUUUGGGAAAAAAGGACAUAAUGAAGAAAUAUAUUGACCAGCUGUUAUGAGGCAAAAAUGUUUAGGAAGGGAAAAUUAUGCUGAAAUUAAAGCUGAUAGCCAUGCAGUUACUGGGCAGGAAAAUGAUUAUGCUUUUUAUUGGCCUGAAGGGGAUGUAAAUGAAAAUGUUAGAGCAGAACGUGAAUUUUUUAAUACAGAUGAAGAGCUGAGAGUGAACAAAUAUCAAUUCACCUCCUAAUAAGAUACCUUCAGCCAUAGGGCAAAUGCAGAAUAAAACUUAUGUGUAAAGAUGUAGUGGGAACCAUGUUGGGUGUAUGUUACAUAUGGUUCUUCUAUUAAUGAAUCCAUAACAAUGAACAGGGAUUAACAAAUAUUUAUUAUAUACGUAUGUAUAUAUAAAACCAACACCUGAUUCAUGAAGAAUUUUAGGUAUGUUCUUCUAUAAAGCACGUAUACAAGUCUCACUGAAGUUAGACCUGUGCUUAGAUCCUUUCUUAUUCUGGG